rnacentral:rRNA from 1 species
CAGUCGCCGCGGUAAUACGAAGGGUGCAAGCGUUACUCGGAAUUACUGGGCGUAAAGCGUGCGUAGGCGGUGGUUUAAGUCUGUUGUGAAAGCCCUGGGCUCAACCUGGGAAUUGCAGUGGAUACUGGGUCACUAGAGUGUGGUAGAGGAUAGUGGAAUUUCCGGUGUAGCAGUGAAAUGCGUAGAGAUCGGAAGGAACAUCUGUGGCGAAGGCGACUAUCUGGGCCAACACUGACACUGAGGCACGAAAGCGUGGGGAGCAAACAGGAUUAGAUACCCCCGUAGUCCCUGUCUCUUAUAC